GCCGCCUUAGCUCAGUUGGUUAGAGCGCCGGAUUGUGGAUCCGGAGGUCCCCUGUUCAAACCAGGGAGGCGGUACCA
rnacentral:tRNA from 2 species